GAGAUGGCAACUUCCAUGAUGAGAGGAAGAAGAGAGAACUGAUAUGAGAAGGCAACUUCCAUGACAAGUUCUUGGUUAGUCUUUAAAUACAGGUUAAAUGGACUAGUGUCUUUACUCAGAAAAGAGAUCAGACUAAAACAACCCACAAAGAUUGAUUUUGUAAAAUGGAAAUAGCCCAAGCCUUUGAUAUUUUUCCUCUAAAUGAUGCCCACUUCCCACCUUUCUUGGGCAAAAAUGAAGAAGAUGAGACUAUGCUACUCUUAGAUGCUGCAUUUGCAGAAGAAUUGCAGUUCCAGGAGGCUUUGAAGGCCUCUCUGAUCACUUGUCAAAUGCCAACUUCUGGGACAAGUGCCAAGCCAUCGGUUCAUGUGGAAGUAAGAGGAGAAUCCUCUAUGGGUUUCUGCGAAAAUUGCCUGGGGAAAAAAGAAAAUGAUCAGCUGAUCAAGAAUGGGAACUGUCGUCACCCAAUUUGCUUGGAAUGUAUAAGCAAGCAUGUGGAGGCAAAGAUCAAAUUGGGCAUGAAGACUUUUACAUGUCCAGGCUUAAACUGUGAAU
rnacentral:misc_RNA from 1 species